rnacentral:lncRNA from 12 species
GAACACUCUUCAGAAGCCACAAAAGCAUCCUCCCACAUUGACUGUGACUUCUGGUCCACAGCCACAUCUCAGGAGCAAUGAUACUAAGCUUUUCUGUCUCCAGUGCACACCAGCCAUGUCCUUGUGGUUAGCAGAUGCAUUGGUUUUGCAACGAAAGGCUAAACAAGCCUGAAAGGAAACCAUGAGUCUGACCUUGGAAGAUUUCAUGUUCUCAAGCUCACUGAGUCAUCAGUGAAUUUAUGAACCAGGUGCUAUUUCUAGGGUCAGAGCUAAAUCAGAAGAAAAGCUGUAAGAGAGGAAUCCAAAGGGUCAGGAAAGCCUCUGGAAUUGUACAUUUUAAAUACAGCCCUUCAGAAGCGUCCCAUGUCUCUGAGCUGGUGGACCACCCAAAUCUCUCUCUGAAACUCCUCCAACUUGGAUGAUAUGCCUUUCAGUACAGCAGCUCUUACAUGGAUCUAUCAGGUGGCUCAGUCUCUCAGAUCUACAAAGAAAUUGGCCUCUGUUCUCAUAGCUGAGCCCCAGACAAAGAAGGAAGACACAGUCUGAAAUUCACGUUAGCAUAAUAAACAUUAAAACUUACUCA